rnacentral:rRNA from 1 species
GAUGAACGCUGGCGGUGUGCCUAAUACAUGCAAGUCGAACGAAGCUUUUUUAACUGGUGCUUGCACCGACUUAAACAACUGAGUGGCGAACGGGUGAGUAACACGUGGGUAACCUGCCCCAAAGCGGGGGAUAACAUUUGGAAACAGAUGCUAAUACCGCAUAACCACAGAAACCACAUGGUUUCUGUGUCAAAGAUGGUUUCGGCUAUCCCUUUGGGAGGGACCCGCGGCGUAUUAGCUAGUUGGUAAGGUAAUGGCUUACCAAGGCAAUGAUACGUAGCCGAACUGAGAGGUUGAUCGGCCACAUUGGGACUGAGACACGGCCCAAACUCCUACGGGAGGCAGCAGUAGGGAAUCUUCCACAAUGGACGAAAGUCUGAUGGAGCAACGCCGCGUGAGUGAAGAAGGUUUUCGGAUCGUAAAACUCUGUUGUCAGAGAAGAACGUGUGCGAGAGUAACUGUUCGUGCAGUGACGGUAUCUGGCCAGAAAGCCACGGCUAACUACGUGCCAGCAGCCGCCGUAA